rnacentral:snoRNA from 1 species
GUGGAGGUCUAUCCCGAUGGGGCUUUUUCUGUAAACACACAUGGUUGGAAAUGCCUCACAGAGUAACUAUAUGGUUUCCUUUACCUUUAUCUGCUAACCCGCCGGGACGGGCAGGGGCUGGGAGCUGAGGCUCGAGCUUCACAAGUCAGAU